rnacentral:rRNA from 1 species
UGCCUACGGGAGGCUGCAGUGAGGAAUAUUGGUCAAUGGACGGAAGUCUGAACCAGCCAUGCCGCGUGAAGGAAGACGGCCCUACGGGUUGUAAACUUCUUUUAUACGGGGAUAAACCUAUCUUUGCGAAGAUAGCUGAAGGUACCGUAUGAAUAAGCAUCGGCUAACUCCGUGCCAGCAGCCGCGGUAAUACGGAGGAUGCGAGCGUUAUCCGGAUUUAUUGGGUUUAAAGGGUGCGUAGGCGGACAAAUAAGUCAUUGGUGAAAUCACUCAGCUUAACUGAGUAACUGCCAUUGAUACUGUUAGUCUAGAAUGUAAAUGGAGUAGGCGGAAUGAAUCAUGUAGAGGUGACAUUCAUAGAUAUGAUUCAGAACACCGAUCGCGAAGGCAGCUUGCUAAGAUACAAUUGACGCUGAUGCACGAAAGCGUGGGUAGCAAACAGGAUUAGAUACCCGAGUAGUCA